CAGCAGCCGCGGUAAUACGUAGGUGGCAAGCGUUGUCCGGAAUUAUUGGGCGUAAAGCGCGCGCAGGCGGAUCAGUUAGUCUGUCUUAAAAGUUCGGGGCUUAACCCCGUGAUGGGAUGGAAACUGCUGAUCUAGAGUAUCGGAGAGGAAAGUGGAAUUCCUAGUGUAGCGGUGAAAUGCGUAGAUAUUAGGAAGAACACCAGUGGCGAAGGCGACUUUCUGGACGAAAACUGACGCUGAGGCGCGAAAGCCAGGGGAGCGAACGGGAUUAGAUACCCCCGUAGUCCCUGUCUCUUAUACA
rnacentral:rRNA from 1 species